UACACACCCACCUUAUCAGGUGGUCUAUUUAACCAGAGAGACAUUUCCCAUCAACCCCUCUUGCUCGCACUGCUGCUGCAGUAUGGCUACCUGUUGCUACAGUGUCUCAGCCGUUGACCAAGUGACCGUUGUUCCUCCGUGGGUCGUUGUCUCUCUCAAUCCGAGUAAUUCCUCCUCUGAAGAAGUUCGCUUUAUUUCCGAAAUUUCGGCUCGGUCCUUCAAGAUUCACUACGUGUGAAUCGGACGUCAAGCGUCUGCGCCACGACUCCCGCGGGCCUCUCAGCGCGCACCACAUCCUGGAGGAGCUGCGCACCCGAAGCGUUUAAUUCAUCGGGUCUGAGCCACGAGUUAGUUUCAACUACUUCUUGACUGAAGGCGGCUCCGCGAGGCCGAACAAACGCUGGUGGCAGCGUCACUGACGGCAGCUUCGCUGACGGAUUCUUCCCGGGACAUCUCUGCUCUACCAACUUCUCCCUCACCGCGGGAUGUUGUCCCUCGGGCAGAGGAAGCGCGCCUGGAUCCGCUGGGGCUUUCAUCCUGUCUCCUCUGCUGAAUGAAGUCUGCACUGAACGUUAUGAAUGAAACAAUUCAGGCUGGAAUCACACGCCAUCUUCCCUGCACGUGAUGUAAACAAAAUUACGGGACCGGCUCGUGUUAUAGUACUUCCUGGUACGUCACUCCAGCAGGAUUAUGGGAGUUGUAGUCCAAUCUCCAGCCAUGGGUCUGAAGCUUCUGUCUCCUGACAACAGUACCUUUCCCAAAGGAAUCAAAUGCUAGCAGAUCUCCUCAAAGCUUCGCCAUCCCUGCCAGAGCUGAGGCCUAACACCUGGAUGCUGUCCCCGCACUUACUAAGAUGUGGCACCGCUAGGACUGCAACACUCCAUCAUCAAUGCUACUAAUGCCAUGUUGGACACCACAAGAAGGAAUAUUGACUCUCAAACAUCAUCUGCAGCCUUGAUGUUUUAAUAUGUAAUCUCCGCUGCACAAAUCCUUUGUUGCAUGUCAGAUCUCGGGAUCCAUCAGGUCUCUGCGUCCGGGGUAGUCACAGGCGUGUUUCGGCGCGCCUUCAUCCCCUCAAAUGGUGACGAUACAAUGCGAACGAUGCCAAGGGAUUCAUUGCACCCUUGCCGUGGCAUACAUCUGUUCCUGUCCAUCCUGGGAGAGGGAUCCCUCACAUGUGGCUCUCUCUGAGGUUUCUACAUUUUCCCCUGUUUAUGGGGGUUUUUUGGUAGUUUUUCCUUACUCUUGUCGAGGGUUAAGGACAGGAUGUCGCAUUUGUUAAGCCCGAUGAAACGAAUCAUGUUUUGAAUAUUGGCGAUACAAACAAAACAUGUGAGUGAAUAAUUUGUAUGUGCUUUGCAGACUGAUUAUUUUAUUACAUUUCAGGUGGUUUGCUGGGCUUAAAGGGGAAAUUCCGGUGCAUAUGUUGCCAUGUGCCAAGUUCACUAUAUUCCCGUAUAGUGAACCUCACCAGGUAGUAUAUUCCCCCGCAGACAAUUUGGCUACAGCGAAUGACUACACCGCGGCGGUGAAUGGCUCACAUAACAGGUUCACUAGUUAGCAUAUUCUCCUGCAGGCUAAUGCCCCUACGGAGAAUGGCCACACCGCGGCGGUGAAUGGCGCACACAUAGCAGAUACCGAUCCGUACGUCAGGCUCCGACUAUGUGGAGUUUUGGGGGGUUACAAGUAUUUGCUCAUCACUCCCAUCAUUCCUGUGUAAUCAUAUGGGGGAGUGAUUAAGUUGGAGCCUAGACGCCAAACACUAAAUCUGUUGUAAUAAAUAUAUUACAUGAUCAAACGUGAGUUGUCUGACAGAAAUAUGGCGACGCCUGCGAGCUAGUUCUGGCAGGCAACUCGAGCUGCGCUGCGCCAAUCACGGGACAUACAUCAUGUGACAUACAUCAUGUGAUAUACCUCAAUCUCCACAACCAUCUAUAAUACACACCCACCUUAUCAGGUGGUCUAUUUAACCAGAGAGACAUUUCCCAUCAACCCCUCUUGCUCGCACUGCUGCUGCAGUAUGGCUACCUGUUGCUACAGUCCCUCCACCACCCCAGCAUCCACCUGUAGGCUCCAACGGGGGGUUACAAGUAUUUGCUCAUCACUCCCAUCAUUCCUGUGUAAUCAUAUGGGGGAGUGAUUAAGUUGGAGCCUAGACGCCAAACACUAAAUCUGUUGUAAUAAAUAUAUUACAUGAUCAAA